rnacentral:rRNA from 1 species
CGGCGACCGGCGCACGGGUGCGUAACGCGUAUCAAACCUGCCUCAUACUCGGGGAUAGCCUUGCGAAAGUAAGAUUAAUACCCGAUGUUGUUGCUUUCUCGCAUGGGAGAGUAACCAAAGAUUUAUCGGUAUGAGAUGGUGAUGCGUCCGAUUAGGUAGUAGGCGGGGUAACGGCCCACCUAGCCUUCGAUCGGUAGGGGUUCUGAGAGGAAGGUCCCCCACACUGGAACUGAGACACGGUCCAGACUCC